UACAGAGGUCCCGAGCGUUGUUCGGAUUCACUGGGCGUAAAGGGUGCGUAGGCGGUCGGAUAAGUCUGAUGUGAAAUCUUCGAGCUCAACUCGGAAACUGCAUCGGAAACUAUUCGGCUAGAGGAUUGGAGGGGAGACUGGAAUUCUCGGUGUAGCAGUGAAAUGCGUAGAUAUCGAGAGGAACACCAGUGGCGAAGGCGAGUCUCUGGACAAUUCCUGACGCUGAGGCACGAAAGCUAGGGGAGCAAACAGG
rnacentral:rRNA from 1 species